UACAGAGGUCUCAAGCGUUGUUCGGAAUCACUGGGCGUAAAGGGUGCGUAGGUGGCGUGGUAAGUCAGAUGUGAAAGCCCGGGGCUCAACCUCGGAAUUGCAUCCGAUACUACCAUGCUAGAGUACUGAAGAGGUGACUAGAAUUCUCGGUGUAGCAGUGAAAUGCGUAGAUAUCAAGUGGAACACCAGUGGCGAAGGCGAGUCUCUGGACAUUUCCUGACGCUGAGGCACGAAAGCCAGGGGAGCAAACGGG
rnacentral:rRNA from 1 species